CCUUCAAUUGAACUCAAAAUUCAGCAAUUAGUGGUGAUUUUAGACACAAUUCAAAUGCAUGUGCUUAAUUACUCCAUAAUCCAAGUGUCUUGAACAUAAGGAUUGAAAGAAGAAGGAGGAAGUUCCGGUGCACAACAAAAAGCUCAAGAACGAGGUAAAUCUCAUGCUUAGGAUGGCGAGCUCGGAUCGAACACACCACAUCAUCCAUAUAUGCGCUUCCGGUUAAAGUCGCCUUCUUGUAAAAGGGUCAAAAUGAUUUUUGUGAUGUAA